AGCAGUAGCCACGGUAAUACAGAGGGUGCGAGCGUUAAUCGGAUUUACUGGGCGUAAAGCGUGCGUAGGCGGCUUUUUAAGUCGGAUGUGAAAUCCCUGAGCUUAACUUAGGAAUUGCAUUCGAUACUGGGAAGCUAGAGUAUGGGAGAGGAUGGUAGAAUUCCAGGUGUAGCGGUGAAAUGCGUAGAGAUCUGGAGGAAUACCGAUGGCGAAGGCAGCCAUCUGGCCUAAUACUGACGCUGAGGUACGAAAGCAUGGGGAGCAAACAGGAUUAGAUACCCCCGUAGCCCUGUCUCUUAUACA
rnacentral:rRNA from 1 species